rnacentral:rRNA from 1 species
GACGAACGCUGGCGGCGUGCCUAACACAUGCAAGUCGAACGGAAAGGCCCUGCUUUUGCGGGUUGCUCGUUUGGCGAACGCGUGAGUAACACGUGAGUAACCUGCCCCUGUCUGUGGGAUAACUCUAGGAAAAUGGGGCUAAUACCGGAGAGGAGCUCUUGCUGCAUGGGGUGGGUUGGUAAGUUUCGGCGGUUGGGGAUGGAAUCGCGGCUUAUCAGCUGGUUGGUCGGGUAGUGGCUGACCAAGGCUUUGAAGGCUAGCCGGCCUGAGAGCGUUACCGGCCACAUUGGGACUGAGGUACGGCGCAGACUGCUACGGGAGGCAGCAGUGGGGAAUAUUGCACAGUGAGCGGAAGCCUGAUGCAGCAGCGCCGCGUGCGGGAUGACGGCCUUCGGGUUGUGAACCGCUGUCGACUGUGACGAAGCGUGAGUGACGGUAAUGGGUAAGGAAGCACCGGCUAACUACGUG